GCUACAGGAAAACAGCGUUAAUAACAGCAUCACUUUUUGAUCCUUCAAUGUCAUCUCUUCCUCUCAUUGUAAAGCAGAAUUCACCAAGCAUUGGAUUGUUCACCCACUAACAAGGAACAUGAGCUGGGAUUAGACUGUCGUGAGACAGGUU
rnacentral:ncRNA from 1 species